GAGCCCCAGGAGGCAGCUAGGCAUGGUGUGUCUGGAAGCCUACGCCCUGACAAGUAUAAAGGGCUAAGAGGAAGUGUGAGCUGAAACCAUCUACGCAACAGGGAGCAUCCAAGCAAUCCUUUUUACAGGGUCAGCAAAAGGCACCCACAUAGCCAGGAUCUAAAGAGAAAAACAGAUUCCAUGCUGUCUUUCUGCCAUGGGCUCCACGCUCUUCAGUUACCUGGCCUUUUCUCUCCUGGUGGCAGGUCCAGUGGACCCUAAAAUUAUCCAGAAACCAAAACAUCUGGUGGCAGUCACGGGGAGCGAAAGAACCCUGAUAUGCGAACAGUAUCUAGGCCACAAUGCUAUGUAUUGGUAUAGGCAAAGUGCUAAGAAGUCCAUAGAGCUCAUGUUUUCCUAUAACUAUCAAAACCUUGCUGACAAUCAGACUGUCCCAAGUCGUUUCCAACCUCACAAUUCACAGAAAUCCUACUUAGACCUUCAGAUCACAGCCCUACAGCCUGACGACGCGGCUACAUACUUCUGUGCCAGUAGCCAAGCAAACACCGGGCAGCUGUUCUUUGGAGAAGGGUCAAAGCUGACAGUGCUGGAGGAUCUGAGAAAGGUGACUCCACCCAAGGUCUCCUUGUUUGAGCCAUCAAAAGCAGAGAUCUCAGACAAACAAAAGGCUACCCUCGUGUGCUUAGCCAGGGGCUUCUUCCCUGACCACGUGGAGCUCAGCUGGUGGGUUAAUGGGAAGAAGAUCGACAAUGGGGUCAGCACAGACUCUGAAGCCUACAAGGAGAGCAAUGGAGUCACCUACUGCCUGAGCAGCCGCCUGAGGGUUUCUGCUACCUUCUGGCACAAUCCUCGCAAUCACUUCCGCUGCCAAGUGCACUUCUAUGGGCUUACAGAGGAAGACAAUUGGCCAGAAGGCUCACCCAAACCUGUCACACAGAACGUUAGUGCAGAGACCUGGGGCAAAGCAGAGUGUGGAAUCACCUCAGUAUCUUAUCAUCAGGGGGUUCUGUCUGCCACCAUCCUCUAUGAGAUCCUCCUGGGGAAGGCCACCCUAUAUGCUGUGCUGGUCAGUGCCCUGGUGCUGAUGGCCAUGGUCAAGAAAAAAAAUUCCUGAGACAAACUCUUACCCAUUCUGAGCUAUUCAUUGCCCUGGCCAUAGAUUUCCCUGUACCUUCUCCAAUCCUUGUUCCUAAGGACUUGUCUCUUUUUCCUCCAUGGAAAUCCAUCCUUCCUCAUUGACCCUUUGGCUCUGAAACAGACUAAAUCAAUAAAAAUAUUGAGUUUGGCCUGG